CACUCGACGAAUAAGGGGAAGACCACGAGUUGCACUAGCGCUGGGGAUGUGACUAGAGUUCUUCUUACAAGUAUUGUCAAACCCGGGGUUACUAUUGCUAAAGGAAUUGUUUUGAGCAAGGAUCCGCUCACAAAAGUAGGGGGGCACGAACUUGGAAUUGGUUUUUGGGAAGUAUUAAUUCAUGUGGCAGUAGUACGGGAGGAGGUUUUGAUAAGACCCUAUGGAUGAUAUAAAACAAUUGGGGAUGCUAUUGGAACGAGUAUUGUUUGGCCCUCUAUUAUGUGUAAGGUUUAAGGAGAGAUGGAUUGAGCUAAAUGAAAGGAUCUCUCUCUCUCUCUCUCUCUCUUGUAAAUGUUUUACGUUUUGUGCAUGGGUUUAGGACUGAUGUGUGAUUGGUUUUGGAUAGAAAGUGUUUAACUCUCAUUUUGGAAUUUGGAUUGACUUAAGAUCCAA